rnacentral:rRNA from 2 species
ACACAUGCAAGUCGAACGGAAAGGCCCUUCGGGGUGCUCGAGUGGCGAACGGGUGAGUAACACGUGGGUGAUCUGCCCUGCACUUUGGGAUAAGCCUGGGAAACUGGGUCUAAUACCGAAUAGGACUCCGGACUGCAUGGUCUGGGGUGGAAAGCUUUUGCGGUGUGGGAUGGGCCCGCGGCCUAUCAGCUUGUUGGUGGGGUGAUGGCCUACCAAGGCGACGACGGGUAGCCGGCCUGAGAGGGUGACCGGCCACACUGGGACUGAGAUACGGCCCAGACUCCUACGGGAGGCAGCAGUGGGGAAUAUUGCACAAUGGGCGCAAGCCUGAUGCAGCGACGCCGCGUGAGGGAUGACGGCCUUCGGGUUGUAAACCUCUUUCAGCACAGACGAAGCGCGAGUGACGGUAUGUGCAGAAGAAGGACCGGCCAACUACGUGCCAGCAGCCGCGGUAAUACGUAGGGUCCGAGCGUUGUCCGGAAUUACUGGGCGUAAAGAGCUCGUAGGUGGUUUGUCGCGUUGUUCGUGAAAACUCACAGCUUAACUGUGGGCGUGCGGGCGAUACGGGCAGACUGGAGUACUGCAGGGGAGACUGGAAUUCCUGGUGUAGCGGUGGAAUGCGCAGAUAUCAGGAGGAACACCGGUGGCGAAGGCGGGUCUCUGGGCAGUAACUGACGCUGAGGAGCGAAAGCGUGGGGAGCGAACAGGAUUAGAUACCCUGGUAGUCCACGCCGUAAACGGUGGGUAUAGGUGUGGGUUUCCUUCCUUGGGAUCCGUGCCGUAUGAACGCAUUAAGUACCCGCCUGGGGAGUACGGCGCAAGGCUAAAACUCAAAGGAAUUGACGGGGGGCCCCACAAGCGGCGGAGCAUGUGGAUUAAUUCGAUGCAACGCGAAGAACCUUACCUGGGUUUGACAUGCACAGGACGCCGGCAGAGAUGUCGUUCCCUUGUGGCUGUGUGCAGGUGGUGCAUGGCUGUCGUCAGCUCGUGUCGUGAGAUGUUGGGUUAAGUCCCGCAACGAGCGCAACCCUUGUCUCAUGUUGCCAGCACGUAAUGGUGGGGACUCGUGAGAGACUGCCGGGGUCAACUCGGAGGAAGGUGGGAUGACGUCAAGUCAUCAUGCCCCUUAUGUCCAGGGCUUCACACAUGCUACAAUGGCCGGUACAAAGGGCUGCGAUGCCGUGAGGUGGAGCGAAUCCUUUCAAAGCGGUCUCAGUUCGGAUCGGGGUCUGCAACUCGACCCCGUGAAGUCGGAGUCGCUAGUAAUCGCAGAUCAGCAACGCUGCGGUGAAUACGUUCCCGGGCCUUGUACACACCGCCCGUCACGUCAUGAAAGUCGGUAACACCCGAAGCCGGUGGCCUAACCCCUUGUGGGAGGGAGCCGUCGAAGGUGGGAUCGGCGAUUGGGACGAAGUCGUAACAAGGUAGCGUACCGGAAGGUGCGGUUGGAUCACCUCCUU